rnacentral:tRNA from 1 species
UGGUUCAGUGGUAGAAUUCUCACUUUCCAUAUGAGAGACCCAGGUUCCACUCCUGG